UACAGGGGGGGCAAGCGUUGUUCGGAAUUACUGGGCGUAAAGGGCUCGUAGGCGGCCAACUAAGUCAAACGUGAAAUCCCCAGGCUUAACCUGGGAACUGCGUGUGAUACUGGAUGGCUUGAAUUCGGGAGAGGGAUGCAGAAUUCCAGGUGUAGCGGUGAAAUGCGUAGAUAUCUGGAGGAAUACCGGUGGCGAAGGCGGCAUCCUGGACCGACAUUGACGCUGAUGAGCGAAAGCUAGGGGAGCAAACGGG
rnacentral:rRNA from 1 species